AUUGAACGCUGGCGGCAUGCUUUACACAUGCCAGUCGAACGGUAACAGGCCGCACGGUCCUGACGAGUGGCGGCCGGGUGCGUAAUACAUCGGCACGUGCCCCCUCGUGGGGGGUCACUGCUCGCAAGAGGAGCCAAUACCUCAUACCGUCUAAGAAUGUGAACCGCAGGCCUCAAGGCCUCGCGCGGUUCGUGCGGCCGCUGUCAGAUUAGGUAGUUGGUGAGGUAAAGGCUCACCAAGCCAACGAUCUGUAGCUGGUCUGAGAGGACAAGCCGCCACACUGGGACUGAGACACGGCCCAGACUCCUACGGGAGGCAGCAGUGGGGAAUUUUGGACAAUGGGCGCAAGCCUGAUCCAGCAAUGCCGCGUGCAGGAAGAAGGCCUUCGGGUUGUAAACUGCUUUUGUAAGGAACGAAACGGCUCUGGUUAAUACCCGGGGAUAAUGACGGUACCGUAAGAAUAAGCACCGGCUAACUACGUG
rnacentral:rRNA from 1 species